UACGAAGGGGGCUAGCGUUGCUCGGAAUCACUGGGCGUAAAGCGCACGUAGGCGGCUUGUUAAGUCAGGGGUGAAAUCCUGGAGCUCAACUCCAGAACUGCCUUUGAUACUGGCGAGCUUGAGUUCGGGAGAGGUGAGUGGAACUGCGAGUGUAGAGGUGAAAUUCGUAGAUAUACGCAAGAACACCAGUGGCGAAGGCGGCUCACUGGCCCGAUACUGACGCUGAGGUGCGAAAGCGUGGGGAGCAAACAGG
rnacentral:rRNA from 1 species